rnacentral:rRNA from 1 species
UUAAUAGACCAUCUACCACCCUGAAUGGGCCCGAUCUUGUCUAAUCUCAGAAGCUAAGCAGGUUUGGGCCUGCUUUGUACUUGGAUAGGAGGAGAUAUUGUCCUGUGGAAGGUAAGAAGACAUUAAA